AUUGAACGCUGGCGGCAUGCCUUACACAUGCAAGUCGAACGGUAACAGGUCUUCGGGUGCUGACGAGUGGCGAACGGGUGAGUAAUACAUCGGAACGUGCCCGAUCGUGGGGGAUAACGGAGCGAAAGCUUUGCUAAUACCGCAUAAGAUCUACGGAUGAAAGCAGGGGACCGCAAGGCCUUGCGCGAACGGAGCGGCCGAUGGCAGAUUAGGUAGUUGGUGGGAUAAAAGCUUGCCAAGCCGACGAUCUGUAGCUGGUCUGAGAGGACGACCAGCCACACUGGGACUGAGACACGACCCAGACUCCUACGGGAGGCAGCAGUGGGGAAUUUUGGACAAUGGGCGCAAGCCUGAUCCAGCCAUGCCGCGUGCAGGAUGAAGGCCUUCGGGUUGUAAACUGCUUUUGUACGGAACGAAAAGACUCUUUCUAAUAAAGAGGGUCCAUGACGGUACCGUAAGAAUAAGCACCGGCUAACUACGUGCCAGCCGCCGCAGUAAAAC
rnacentral:rRNA from 1 species